UUGACUCACAGUUCAGCAUGGCUGGGGAGGCCUCAGGAAACUUACAAUCAUGGCGGAAGAGGAAGCAAACACAUCCUUCUUUACAUGGGGGCAGCAAGGAGAAGUGCAGACCGAAAGGGUUUGGCCAUUGGGGUGUGUUUUCUGUUGGCCAUCAGGCUUAAACCCUAAGGGCUUACCAUUAUCUCUGCCAAUCCUGGAGCUUGUUUUUUAUCUGUUAUGCUGCUUAGGUUGUUAGGGCCUGCUGCUCGACUGGGUGGAAGCUGGUGAGAAGGGGUUAAUGGACGCAGCCAGCCAGUGGCAUAAGGAGAGUUCUUUCUGGAGGCCACAGGAAACCAGGGCGGCUUUGGACAGGUUAUAGGCUGUCAAGUAGGGCAGCCUGGUAA
rnacentral:lncRNA from 1 species